rnacentral:rRNA from 1 species
GUCCAUGCCGUAAACGAUGAUUACUAGGUGUUGGGGGAUUGACCCCCUCAGUGCCGCAGUUAACACAAUAAGUAAUCCACCUGGGGAGUACGACCGCAAGGUUGAAACUCAAAGGAAUUGACGGGGGCUCGCACAAGCAGUGGAGUAUGUGGUUUAAUUCGAAGCAACGCGAAGAACCUUACCAGGUCUUGACAUCCGAUGCAUAGCUUAGAGAUAAGUGAAGUCCUUCGGGACAUCGAGACAGGUGGUGCAUGGUUGUCGU